GGGGAUUUCUUCCUUCCCCACCCAAGCAACAUAAAAAUGGCCACUCACAGAAGGAACACACACACACAGGCCCAGGCUUAACCAGGCAAGUCUGAGAGGGGAGUUUCUGGACCUCCAGUUUCUGGUUUUCGUCUUCCAGUUUUCUUUUCUGGGAACGAGUCACAGACUAGUGUGCUGAGCCAGGAUGUUUCCAGCCUUGGGGGAAUUACUUCAUGAGUGAUCGAUCUACAUUUGAGAUACCCUGCAUGUGAGAAUCUCUGACAUAGGACUGCCCUAGGGAGAUUUCCUUAAGUGAUAAUUGAAGGAGGACUGGCCUGCAGCUGCAGCGGUAAAAGCCAUGCCAAGAGGGGCCAAGAGAUCCAUGGACUUCACCAUUCUCUCCAGAUAUUGUUAUGAAGACACUGAAGCCUUGGAAGGGACUUGCUGAAGGUCACACAGAACCUGUCACAGAGAUGCCCAUGAAAACUCAAGCAGCGGAACCAGAACAGAAUAAAGGCUAUGAUUCUCCAUGGAUUCCCCUCAGGCCAGUGCUUCUAUUUCUUUGGGCCUGCCCCGCCCCCCAAUUUCUUUAGUCAGUGAUUGGAGUUAGACCCUAAUCCCAGAGUCAGGUACAGACUUUAAGGUUCAUAUUGAAGUUCUCAGGAUUUCCAUCCCUGGGGCUCAGAGGAUCCAAAGUCCCCGUGGUUUCUGAAUGGAUGUUCCUAGGCCUGGAAAGAAUAGUAAACUUGGUCCAAAGACUGUUUUUUUCAAGAUUUUCUCAGUCCAGAUUGGGGUUCCUCCAAAACAGGUGAGGUUAUGCAAUUUCUGUGAAAUAGAACUGAGCUUUCUGAGGCAUGGCUUGUCUUCACAUGGCAGAGAUUAGUUGGCUCCCAGUACCAUCCCCACCCUCCCCUCUCCUCACCCUUCUCCCAUUCACAUUUACAAGUUGAGACCUGGGGGGGGAGGGGUGUGACUAUGUCAGGUUCAAGGUACACGUGCAGCCCUCCGCAUUCUUAAUCUAUAACUCAAGAGGCCCCACCAAUGUUUUCACCUUUAACAACCAGAGGAUACAAUCAGCUUGAAUAAAGGCAUUUGCUGAAAUGGAACAGCCAGACCAGUAGCUACAGAACAUUCCUCCCAUAAACUUGGGCUACACUCUUCCAAAAAUACACACCACCUCAGGGUGAAGAGUGGGGACAAAACAGGAGUCUACUAGUGGGGAAGCAUAUGGCCAAGACA